rnacentral:rRNA from 1 species
UACGUAGGUGGCAAGCGUUGUCCGGAUUUACUGGGCGUAAAGAGCGCGCAGGCGGUCAGAUAAGUCGAAUGUGAAAGCCCCCGGCUCAACUGGGGAGGGUCAUUCGAUACUGUUCGACUCGAAGGCAGGAGAGGGAAGUGGAAUUCCCGGUGUAGUGGUGAUAUGCGUAGAUAUCGGGAGGAACACCUGUGGCGAAGGCGGCUUUCUGGGCCCUACCUGACGCUGAGACGCGAAAGCGUGGGGAGCGAACCGG